rnacentral:lncRNA from 1 species
UACAGGUUCUGGGGAAUCUAACUUGGCUUCCCAGGCUAGUGACUGAAGCAUCUCCUUGGCCUCACUUCUUUUCUUUGACUUCGAAUCACAUGGGCCUGUUCCUUUAAGAUCACUCUACUCUACAGAUUCACAGCUAAAGGCAUGACAGGGAUUGGUGUGGGCAAAGAGGCUGAGGGGCCUUUCUCACUGUCUUAUGGGUGUUUUUGCCCUUGGGACUCGAGGCGACAAUCUCUCUGAAUCCUGUUGGAUUAACCCCUCCUGAUAUCUGUGACAAGGGAAAAGAGGGCAAUGAAGUGAGACAGCAUUUGCAAGUUUAAGAGGGCUCAGUUCUGCUGACAACCAAGGUGAGUUGCCUUGCCUUUCACAUAGCAAGGUACUUGAAGCUAUGCUUUUGCCUUCUUGCUCUGUGACU